UAGGCUACGUACAACCCUCCAUUUCUUAUAUCCCUGUUUUGACAGUUGGUGGGGUUGACAGUUGCGGAACUCAAUUCAACUGAAGUCAUUCUGUCGAGUCACUCUCAAGAGUGCCGAAGGAAAAGAAAAGUUUCACUCUCCAGAUCCAGGAAACAACAGUUUGACACGCUCCAGGUUUUGCUGAGGAGAAGCGAUGGAGGCUGCUGUAUUUGAGUAUCACAAAGAGGAUGACCCUGUGGACGUUGAAUCUUUUCAGGGAGAGAAGCAGAAGCUUAUUCAGCCGGCGUCUUUAAAAGACCCCAAAUUUGAAAAGCUAAAGGAGGCACUGGUUUGUUGGAUCAAUAGCACUUUGAAACCAGAUCACAUAGUGGUUCAGAGUCUGGAGGAGGAUCUGUUCGAUGGCCUGGUGCUUCAUCACCUGCUGUCCAGAUUGGCUGGUGUGCACAUGUCUGUGGAGGCUAUGGCACUAACCAGCCCUGCUCAGAUCCGCAAGCUGGGAGUGAUCCUGGAGGAGUUGGACAAGAGACUGGGCCUGCAGGACAGCAGCCAGAUCAAGUGGAACGUCAAACUCAUCCACAACAAAGACCUUCUGGCCACUAUUCAUCUGCUGGUUGCCAUGGUGAGAUCUUUCCAGCCUGAACUGGGUUUGCCACCAAAUGUAAAAGUUGAAGUUAUAGUUUUGGAAGUGAGCAGAGGUGGAAUCAAAUCAGAUGUACAGACGGAGGUCCUGACAGAGGAAAGGGAUGCAGGCUCAGACUCUCUCAACAAGACUGAAAGGGAAGAUCCCAUCGAGCAACUGCUGAAGCUUGAGGAUCACAAGGUCAACACGGUGAAGAAGGCCAUCUUACACUUUGUCAACCAGAAUAUGUUGACCAUGGGUCUGCAGGUGGCUGAUAUGGACAAACAGUUUGCUGACGGUGUGAUUCUGCUGCUGCUGCUCGGACAACUGGAAGGCUUCUUCAUCCCGCUCUAUGACUUCAACCUGACACCUGUCAAUCACUCUGAGAUGCUCCACAAUGUGACCUUGGCCUUGGACCUCCUUAAUGACGCAGGCCUUCAAGUGUCCAGCAUUGAUCCACAAGGACACCACAACACCACUGACUCGUCAACAUGGUAAGACAAUUACUGUACAGAAAUAACAUAUUGCCUAUUAAGCAAGAGCUGAGAAUGUUAUAGGAAUCAUUUUCUACAUUUUUCCAAGGCUACUGUGAGUAUAUAUUAUUGCCUGAGGUGACCAAACCAGAGGAUUUCUCAUAAACUGACUUUAUUUUAUACCAUGUUUUAUUUUUUUUUGAGAAAACAAAUGAUGUCCCCCUGCAACACUGAAGCCCAUCCAAAAUGUUGAUGGAAAACAUGAGUCAUAUCUGCCUAACUUGUCACACUGAACAGAUGCAUCUCUCUGUGGAUGAAAAGUGGAGCAGAGCUAACAAAGCAGCAUCACUCUGAGUAUUCAGCUGCUGUAUUGUAUGUGCGUAUGUUUAUGUCAGUUAUCACAGAAGUGACAGUAUCAUGGGAGUGUUAAACCUAAAGAACCAUGAGACUUAACACUACUGUUGUAAUUAAUCCAAACAGCUCAUCCAAGAUGUGAUCAACGCAGUCAAAUUUAUCUGUGUAGCACAUUUUAUACACUGUCCAUUACUCAACAUAAAAAUUAUGAGAGACACAAGAUAAAUAAUUACAAAAAGGAUAUAUGGGGUUUCAAGAUGAUCAACAGAACAGUGGUGGAACAGCUUAGUAUUCAUUGACAAAUGCAACGUGUGAUGAGUCCAGAGUGGACACAGCUUCAUUUUAAAAGCCGCUAUAAUCCAUAUUUCUAUUUUAACAAUGGUUAAAAUUACUAUGUGUAAUGUGAAAGGCAGCCGCUUUUGGCAACAAACCCACAGUUUUAUCACCCUCAGCUCUACGGAGCAUGGUGUCUUUUUAGUGUCAUUAUCCAUGUUCCCAUCAUUUUAUCAGCAUUUUAAUGCUGCACAGCUGUAUGGAAGCAGCAAAAUUUUAUAAUACUUCAUCAGUUGCGCAAAAAAGUUGUAAUGGUUCGCUUAAGGUGGUUUUUGCCUUUGGCGAAAAAGAGUUUCUGCUACCCCCAAGUGGCAAAAACAAAACCUCAUAAAGUGAAAUUUUCAUGCCAUGGGACCUUUAAAGGCUCAUGAGGUAAAAGGGUUGGGCUCUGGGGACAACUGGAUUAAGAUUUAAAAAAAAAAAAUUUGUAAAUGAAACUGCAAGGGGUAAAUCAAUCAAGUUAAAAGUCGUUUUUAUUUUUUAUGGAGCUAGAACAGUGACCUGUGGUAUUGAAAAUAAAAAUUGGCAUUGAAACAACAAAUAUUGGCACUGAAAAAUGUUGAACUGAAAUAUAAAACAGAAACAUUAAAAGUUAUAAUCUCACAAUCCUAUUAUAUUAUUUCAAUUAGACAUUUUUUUGCAUUAUGAUAGGUUUUUCAAUUUCAAUGUCAAUUUUUUCUUGAUAUCUGUCUUUUUUCAGUAACAUGUUUUUUUUUACGCUGUCACGGCUUUUCAGUUUCAACUUUCUGUCACCCUUUUGGUGUAGAGAGGAGGGGCUUGAGGGGAGGGCCAAAGAGGGCACGGUUUACAUAUAAUUUGCAUAUUGGCGAGAGACCGCACCUCCACAGACAUCCUCACAGAUGCAUUAUAACCACAUAUCUGCAAUGGCUUCCUUAAGUUCACCUGGAAACUCCAAAUCUCAAGAUAUACAAGAUUUUUCUUGGAGUGGGACCAUGACCAAAAUUACUGGCAUAACAUAACAGUAGUCUGCCAGUAAUUUUACCACCCAUCCAGUGCCCUCUGGGGCUGCGCAGACUAUGGCAGAACUGAGGGCAGCCAUUAACCCUUUGACUGCAUCCGAGGACAAUGGCGGAUAGCUUUACAAGACUGCACUUAACUAUGUGAUUCUUCACACAUAAACAUGGUAGAAUAACACAGGAAACCAUUUGUUGUUAUUUUUUAAUAACAACAAUAUGAUAAAAUGAUAAAUGAAAUGAUAAAUACCACUUUACUUUAUAUGUAGUACUGAUUUUAAUUCUAAACAGUUUUUGAAAUGACAUGCAUUUACAGUACAUGGACUCCAGCAAAACAGUUAAAGCUGUACCGUUUCAAUGAAUAACAAAUAAAUAUAUUCAAGUAAGAAUUUGACUCUAUAUUGCAUAACAAAUUAAAUGCAAUGAUAUUGCAUAUGAGGGUUGAUGUCUACUGGCCUAUGCACAAGGGUACAAGUCCCAUUUCAUGACUUAAAACAAUGUAAGUUUAAAACACUGUGUACAAGUGUAAAUAGUCAAAAUCCAGAGGCUGACGUUGCAGAACUUCCUGAAGCCUUUUCAGCAGUCUCUCCAUAAAUUGCCUCCCAGUCGAAGGUGCCCGUAAUUAUACACAACUUAUUGAAAUUGAGAAAAUGAGAAAUGAAAAAGUUAUGCCUUUAAUCCAGAAAUACCACAGAAAUACUUGUGGCAAGUGGCAAGUUUAUACAUAUAAACCAAUAAUAUUUUUGACCGAUUAACACUAUCAGUUAAACAGUAAAAAAAAUAUUGUACUGGACUGGUUUACAUGAUAAUGUUAACUGUUAUGUUCAGCUAAGGCAGUUUGUCAGUAACAAUGUUUUCCCAGGUUAAAGAGAUGUCAGUGAAUGCGUUAUGCCUGUUAGUGAGUGCCCCACGAUGUAAAUUCACCCAUGUUGAAUACUACUAGUUUAAACAACAUUGGGUAUCAACAGUGAUUCAGUGUUUAUACUGCAGCGUUACAGCGUUGCAGUAUAAACACUGAUUCACCUUUCAAAAUAGAAACAUAAUUCAACGGUGAUUCAACCAUGAACCAUGACGUUGUUCCAACCAUAAAUAAACGUUGAAAUGCCGGCUGGGUAUAACACAUCUGUAAGAAGGUGCGGUCUCUCAACAGUAUGCAAAUUAUCCGUAAACUGCACCCUCUUUGUCAUCAUAAUGCAAACAAAUUUCAAAGUGAAAUACAAUAUUAGCAUUGUGAGAUUAUAACUUAUUUAUGUUUGUGUUGUUUGUGUGUUUAUUUAUCAUUUGAAAAAUUUUCAGUGCCAAUAUUUGUUGUUUCAAUGCCAAUUUUUAUUUUCAAUACCACAGGUCACUGUCACUGUUCUAGCUCCAUAGUUUUUGAGAGGCGGAUUACUAAUAAGACAAAUUUGAAAUCAAGGUUAAAGGAACUUAACUGUCCAUUAUGCGCACUAAACAACACAGCAUAAGUGACCACACUGUACACUGUUUGAUCCAGACUGAGCUAAGGAGAAAGAAUCAUUUAUGUCGAACUGUCAGUCUCUGUUUCCAGAAUGAAAACAGUGAUGGGCUAGAUGAGCUCAAUCAAGGGUCAGUGACUGGUAAAAGGUCAAAGGUCACCUCCUCUGUUGGUUUGGGUGAACCAGUGGGACCUUUAAGCCACUGACACACCAACCCAACGGCCGACCGUUGGCAGAAAAGGCAGUUGGACUGAUCAGUCGGCUCCCCGA